UGCAUCUGGGGCCUGCGAGGAUGAGAACCUCCGGGGGCAGGAGGUUCGACUCGAGCGAAGCGAGAGAACGUUGCGUCAGCAACGGCCCGCAGGGCGAGCCACGAAG
rnacentral:sRNA from 1 species